rnacentral:lncRNA from 10 species
UUGCAUAUCUACUUCUGAACAAUAAUGGGAAUGGUUACAAUGACUGAUUCAGGCUGGGUCACGUACCUAAACUUGUGACCAGGGGUCUCUAGUUUUAGAAAUGGAAACCCCUUUCACAACCACGAUGUUGGAGAGGGAAGCAGCUACCUCAAAAGAAGGGAAUGAACGGUUGAGACCAGACAAUAUAAUAAGUGGCCACUCUCUGGUAGAGAAAGACUUUGGAGGAAACCCAUCAGGCAUCCAGAACCCACAGCUCUGCCAUCAGAACUCCAUCCUGGGAACAGAAGCCGUCUAUCUGCAUCUGUAAACAUGGCCUCAUGUAGUGACGUGCAGGGAAAUGAGUGUGCCCUUGCAAUGGUUCUCAGUCCUUUCUUUAUCUCAACAUCAUGGCAUUUUAUGGCUUCCCUCAUGAGACAACUCAAUUAUUCUCACAAUUUAUCUAGAUUUCUGGAAAAAUAUGUUGGAAUGUGGCCUUCCUACCCCAUUCCCUCUGACAACAGGUUUAUUGAGGAAUAUAUUUUACUUUCAUAUUUUUAUUUCAGAGGAAAAAUUUCUCCCCAGACAUUUAUUUUCCCCAUGGUUCUCUAAGAGGGAGACAUGAAUGAGGAAACCAUAAAAUAAAAUCAGAUAAGGUAAAUCCACGGGAACCUUCUCAGUGCAGUGGUAAUACAGAGUAUAAAGUAGCCCUCCUUACUCUUAAGAGGAAAUUUUGCCUCUUCACCUUUCCAAAAGAAAUGACGAAAACCACUCAGACUGCCUCCUCUCCCUCUUACUCUCCAGGGAGGAGAGAAGAAUGAUCAUCAAGGGCAGAAGGCAGUUACAUCGAAGCAACACUGAAAACUGGCUUCAUGCUCAGGAGAGAAUGCUGCGCUUUUUCCUCGUGAUUUGUGGUGCUCUACAUAUUCAGAGAAACUUCUCCAGUAACAAACUAUAGAAAUGAUCCCUCAAAGUAUAGUCUUCAAGAUUCUUAAUCACAUCUGAAAAGAGCCUUUGUCAUGCCAGACCCUUGCUGACAUCGAUAGGAGUGACACCCUGUUUGACAGGCUGAAGAAGAGACCUAGAGCCGGUGAAUGAAAUACAGGGUUUAUUGAAGGAACCCAGUGUCAAUGGGCUGGAUAAAAGAACAGCUACCACUUGUAAAAAACAUGCAGUUUAGGCCGGGUGUGGUGGUUCACGCCUGUAAUCCCAGCACUUUGGGAGGCUGAGGCGGGCAGAUCCUGAGGUCAGGAGAUUGAGACCAUCCUGGCUAAUACUGUGAAACCCCGUCUCUACUACAAAUACAAAAAAUUAGCUGAGCGUGGUGGCACAUGCCUGUAGUCCCAGCUACUUGGGAGGCUGAGGCAGGAGAAUCACUUGAACCUGGGAGGCGGAGGUUGCAGUGAGCCAAGAUCGUGCCACUGCACUCCAGCCUGGUGACAGAGUGAGACUCCAUCCCCAAAAAAAGAAAAAAAAAAAGAAAAUGCAGUUUAUGUGGCAUUUUCACUUAGCACCUUUCUCAUAUCAGCCUACACCUCACAACCUUCAUUUAACCCAAAACAAAGGGUUUUGAUCCCCUGUAUGGCUCAUGUUCCAUGGGAUGGGAUGGGGAUUGAGAUGUUCCUCGUAGAUAAGGAAUGAAUCUCCGGGUUGGCCACUUCCGGAUUCCUUAGCUUUGGACUCCACACACACAUUCUUUUUAGACCACAGGGUCAAUCUAAGGGUAUCAAGUUAAGUUAUUGCUGUCAGGUGUGUUUGCCAUACAGAGUCAUUCUCAGAAUAUAUGCUUAAGUUAUUGCUGAAAGGUACAUCUGUCAUAUGCCCAUUUUCCAUAUAACAUAACAUUUACAGGUUUCAGAAAUUAGAAACCAAUAUUUUAGGGAGAUUAUUUUUAGCCUACUCCUGUAUACCAUCCUAAAAAUAAGAAAUCCACACUAAAUUUGCCAAGACUAUUGAUUUGCCUUUGUAUCUAUUGGAAACACACACUUGAAUCCAUUGAUUAAAACAGCACCACAAAGUAAAUUUAACAAUACAUUUCAAGUUUUGAAAUGAAGCAUUCAUCAUUUUACAGUUCUAAGAAGAUAAAAGUAUGCAUUUGUGUCACAUUUAUGUGACACUUCAUAAAAAAGUGUUCAGGAAUCUAGAGGGAAUAGAUAAUCUCAGUUCUAGGAGAAAAAAAAAUGGCACAGGCAAAUGGGGUAAUUAGGGAGAUUAAUGAAAGAGAGUUUAGGGAAACCAAAAAUGGAUAGUGUGAUAGCAAAGGGGUGGAAAUAUGCCCCCUAGCUUUGAAAGGGGCAAGGGAAGGGAGAGAAUACCAAAAUUUAGAAUACCAAAAUGUAGAUAGAGCUGAGGCUGUGACUGUAGCUUCAGGAGAGGACUGCUGGAUAGGAGCCGUGGCCUUGGUAAAGGAGCUCAACCCCUCCCAGGCUUCCCUCUGGAAGGCGGAGCAAUUGCCUUACAGUGGCCAAAUCAAUGGGAAGUCAGGUGACAAGGAAGCCCAUUGAUGCUGUCCAUACAGAUAGAUUAGCCUCCUAGAAGAUGAUCAACUUGGAGAAAUGUAGAAAAUGAAUCUAGCUCUAAGGUCAAGAAAAAAAUAUUCCGUACUUGCUGCCAGAGAACUAUGAGGAAAAGCAUAGUAUCCUGGAAUCAGAGGGAAAAGAGUAUUUCAAGAAGGCAGGUAGGUUAAUAUUUCAAAUGGAGCUGAGAGGUCAAGUAAGAUAAGGACUAAGAGAUAUUCAUUGACUUUUAAGACAAGGAGAUCUUUGGUGACCUAAGUCAGUUCUGCUUAGAUGCAGUGGUGAGUGAUGACACUGGAUUGGAUUAGUGUGAAGAGUGAGGUAAGCAAGUGGAGACAGCAAAGGCAGACAAGAAAAUUCAUUCAAGUUUGUUUUGGAUGGGAAAAGAGACAUAGGGCAAUAGCUGAAAGACAAGAGGGGAUUGAAUAAAAAUAUUUUUCUCUCCCAAGUUAGGAAAAAUCUUAACCAGGUAAGAAUGUUAAUGAAAAGACAAAGGUGAGAGGGAGUAGGGAGAGAACCGUGGAGAAGUGUCCGUCAUUCUCACCCAGGAAAGAUUGCUCUGAUGAAUUAGCCAUGUCUGUUAUGGACAUGAGGUGAGAGCGGAGGGAUGAAUGUGUGUUACUGAUUCUAAUUCAAUCUCUAUUUUAUAGAUAAAAUUGUGUCCUACAGAUGGCGAAAGUGGGGAGUCAUUUGUUCAUUAUUCAGGUAACUAGUAAGAUGUCUUGUUACUUUCAGUCCAGGGAGUCUUAAAAUUGGGCACUGUGUUUGUUUGUAUGGCUGUAAAGUAAUACCUGAGGCUUAGAAAUUUAUAAAGAAAAGAGGUUUAUUUGGCUCACAGUUCUGCAGGCUGUACAAGAAGCAUGAUGCCAACAUCUGCUUCUGAUGGCCUCAAGUUGCUUCCACUCAUGGCAGAAAGUGAAAGGGAGCUGGUGUGUCACAUGGCGAGAGAGGGAGGAAGGCAGAGACAGCCAGAGAGUUCCAGGCUAUUUUCAACAACCAGUUCUCUUGGGAACUAAGAAUAGGAAUUCACUCACUCCUACAAAAAUGGCACCGAGCUAUUCAUGGGGGAUCCAACCUCACAAUUCAAACACCUUCCAAUAGGCCCUGCCUCCAACAUAAGGGUCACAUUUCAACACGAAACUUGACAGGACCAAAGGAACUAUAUCCAAACCAUAGCAGGCAUUAUUUCCAAAAUGAUGCCACUCCUAUAUGGGAGAGAGGUGAAGUGAUUUUAUAUUUUUCACUGAUUACUACUUUUAUUUAAUAAUUAUGCACUAAUUUUUAUAGUUGCAAUAUACUAUUGGCCCAGGAUACUGGGUUUCCUUUUAUGGUGGUAAUAUAUAGUUUUUCUCUUAGUUAAAUGCUUUUAGGCAACAAAAGUUGAUUUAAAGAACUUACAAAUAAGAAAAAGUUAUACAGAUAUUACUCAACUAUGACAAUUGUGAAAUUGUGAAGGUGGCACAUGAGUGAAUGACAUUUGAGACAUACUGCAUUAUACAUGUUGCUUAUCUGCAGAGUUAAUUUGGUGUUUAUUGGUGUAAGAACAAAGUUGAAGGGUCUAAGUCUUCUGUCUAUAAUCUCAACCUUGAAUUACUGUCUUAAGCAAUUAAAAAUGCAAACUGCACCUGAAGAAUUAAGAAGAAAGGAUGAAACAACUCUCACAGCAUUUUGCUGAGUGGACAGAAGGAUCAUCUUAGCAAUGGAUUUUAUCACAUAAUUAAAGAGGGAUUCCCUGAUUAAUUAAAUGAAGAGGCAAACUCAUUUAAACUGGUGAUGCUAAGAAGAAAUUACUGCAAUAUUUUUCUUCAGCCAAAAUAAAGUGAAUAGAUAUAGCUCUA